rnacentral:lncRNA from 1 species
GCGGCUUUUGUACCCAGUUGCUUCCUGGCUGCUUUACGGUCGAUUUGCAGGCAGUCCGCUUUGUACAAGCCAUGGUAUAGAGGCUUCCUUAUUUACCUCCCUUAUCCUUCAGCUGGAGCUCUGCGAGCCAGAGGCAGCGCUGGCGUUGGAGAGUGAUGGCGGCAUGGCGGUGCGGCGGCGGCUGCGAACACCUUGAGGACGGGUCGCAUUAUGUUGCCCAGGCUGGACUUGAACUUCUGGGCUCGAGCAAUUCUCCCACCUCAGCCUACCAAGCAGCUGGGACUACAGGUCUGCACCACUGCACCCCACCCAUUCAAGUCCACAUCCCCAGAAACGAGGAUAAUGCUUGGCACAAGGUGUUUAUAAUUCCCUUGGUUUUCUUCACAAUUUCACCACAUAAAUGUUUUGAUGACAAGCUUAAAAAAUUUUUUGCUGAGUGGCUGGCAAGAUGGCCCAAUAGGAACAGCUCCAGCCUGCAGCUCCCAGUGAGAUCAACGCAGAAGUGGUGCCUGGAAUGCCAGAGAGACAGAACCAUUCACUCCCUGGAAAGGGGGCUGAAACCAGGGAGCCAAGUGGUCUAGCUCAGUUGAUCCCACCCCCAUGGCGCCCAGCAAGGUAAGAUCCACUGGCUUGAAAUUCUCGCUGCCAGCACAGUAGUCUGAAGUUGACCUGGGACACUUGAACUUGGUAGGGGGAGGGACAUCCAUCAUUACUGAGGCUUGAGUAGGCGGUUUUCCCAUCACAGUGUAAACAAAGCUGCCUGGAAUUUCAAACUGGACGGAGCGCACUGCAGCUUGAGAAAGCCGCUGUAGCCAGAUUGCCUCUCUAGAUUCCUUCUCUCUCUAGGGCAUCUCUGAAAGAAAGGCAGAAGCCCCAGUCAGGGGCUUAUAUAUAAAACUCUCAUCACCCUGGGACAGAGCACCUGGGGGAAGGGGCAGAUGUGGGCACAGCUUCAGCAGACUUGAACGUUCCUUCCCGCCAGCUAUAAAGAGAGCAGUGGAUCUCCCACCACAGAGCUCUGCUAAGGGACAGACUGCCCCCUCACGUGGGCCUCUGGCCCCCGUGCCUCCUGACUGGGAGAUACCUCCUAGCAGGGGUCAACAGACAUCUCAUACAGGAGAGCUCUGGCUGGCAUCUUGGGGGUGCCCCUUUGGGACGAAGCUUCCAGAGGUAGGAACAGGGAGCAAUCUUUGCUGUUCUGCAGUCUCUGCUGGUGAUACCAGAACAGGGCCUGGAAUGGACCUCCAGCAAACUCCAGCAGACCUGCAGCAGAGAGGCCUGACUGUUAGAAGGAAAACUAACAAACAGAAAGGAAUAGCAUCAACAUCAACAAAAAGGACAUCCACACAAAAACCCCAUCUGAAGAUCACCAACAUCAAAGACCUAACGAAGAUGAAUCCACAAAAAUGAGGAAAAACCAGUGCAAAAAGGCUGAAAAUUCCAAAAACUAGAAUGCCUCUUCUCCUCCAAAAGAUCACCACUCCUCGCAGGAAGGGAACAAAACUGGAUGGAGAAGGAGUUUGAUGAAUUUUGAUAUUACCUACCUUCAGAAGGUAGGUAAUAACAAACUCUUCUGAGCUAAAGGAGCAUGUUCUAACCCAAUGUAAGGAAGCUAAGAACCUUGAAAAAAGGUUAGAUGAAUUGC